GAUCAAAAUUGGAGCAUCUGAUAUAAUUGGAAUAAUACAGAAAAGAUUAGCAUGGUUCCUGCGCAAGGAUGAAACACACAAAUCGAGCAAUGGUCCAAAUUUGU